ACGCUCGACACCUACGGGAGGCAGCGGUGGGGAAUAUUGCACAAUGGGGGAAACCCUGAUGCAGCGACGCCGCGUGAGCGAAGAAGUAUUUCGGUAUGUAAAGCUCUAUCAGCAGGGAAGAAAAUGACGGUACCUGACUAAGAAGCCCCGGCUAACUACGUCCCAGCAGCCGCGGUAAUCUGAGCGGGCUGGCAAGGC
rnacentral:rRNA from 1 species